rnacentral:pre_miRNA from 1 species
UACUCAAAAAGCUGUCAGUCACUUAGAUUACAUGUGACUGACACCUCUUUGGGUGAA